AACGCACGAGACCUGCGGACCUGCGGAAGGAUCAUUAUAGAGUUUUUAACUCCCAAACCCAUGUGAACUUACCUUUGUUGCCUCGGCGGAGCCUACCCGGUACCUACCCUGUAGCGCCCCGCCGGUGGACUUCUAAACUAUUGUUAUUUUAAUGAUAUCUGAGAGUCUUAUUUUAAUAAGUCAAAACUUUUAACAAUGGAUCUCU
rnacentral:misc_RNA from 1 species